rnacentral:lncRNA from 1 species
UAAUUGUUAAGAAGUAUGAAAGUUUUGACUUAAAAUCAAUGAUACACUCAUUAAUUAUUGAGGUCUAAAUUUGCUGUAGGAAUUACUUGGAAUUGAUUAGGAUUUGAUGAGGGUUUGAUUAAGAUUUGGUUAGGAUUUGAUUAAGGUUUAGGAUUUUAUUUAGGAUUUAUUUUGGUUAGAUUUUGUCUAGGAUUUGAUUAGGAUUCAAUUAAGAAUUGGCUGAGGUUUGUUUAAGAUUUGAUUAGGAUUCAAUUAGGAUUUGACUAAAGUUUGUCUAGGAUUUGGUUAGAGAUUAUUUAGGAUUUUUUUAGGAUUUGACUAGGGUUUGUUUAGAAUUUAGUUAAGAUUUAUUUAGGAUUUGAUUAGGAUUUGAUUAGGAUUUGUUUAGGAUUUGGUUAGGGCUUAUUAAGGAUUUGUCUAGGAUUUGGUUAGGGCUUAUUAAGGAUUUGUCUAGGAUUUGACUAGGAUUUAUCUAAGAUUUGGUUAGGAAUUAUUUAGGAUUUGAUUAGGACUUAUUUAGGAUUUGAUUAGGAUUUGUCUAGGAUUUGGUUAAGCCUUAUUUAGAAUUUUAUUAGAAUUUAUUUAGGAUUUGAUUAAGACUUAUUUAAGAUUUGAUUAGGAUUUAUUUAAGAUUUGAUUAAGAUUUGGUUAGGAUUUAUUUAGAAUUUAUUUAGGAUUUGCCUAGGAUUUGAUUAGGACCAUAUAAGAUUUUAUUAAGGUUUGAUUAAGGUUUGACUAAGAUUUGACCAAGGUUUGACUAAGUUUUGAUUAGGAUUUAAUUAAGAUUUUUAUUUUAAUAUUUUAUUGAGAUUUCUAUUUUAGUAUUUUUUUUGAAUUUCUAUAUAUUUUUUUUAAGAUUACUUAAAAAGAUCUCUAAUAAUACUUUGUAUUUCUUGUUU